CUCUCUGUCUCUCUGUCUCUCUCUGUCUCUGUUUCUCUCUGUGUCUCUGUCUCUGUCUCUCUGUCUCUCUCUGUCUCUCUCUCUCUCUCUCUCUCACACACACACACACACACACACACACACACACACACUACUCCCCAACCAGGGCAAGGGUCAGCCCAGCAGCUGCCUGCCUGUAGUCAGGACUGACAGAGGAGCAGGCUCUCAGGUAGCUUCUGGUGACAAGUAGGAACUACAAAAUUGUUUUCCACCCCUCUGUUCUCUAAGCAGUUCUCAGCAUCAGGCCACCUCUUCCUAAUGCCCCAAGGUUCAUCCUCCUAGACUGAUUCCUUCUUUCUUUUAAUGAGCAUUUGCCGUGUAGCUACUUUACCCUAGGCUCCAGGGACAUGGGAUAGAACCACACAGACCUUCCCUGGGACGCUAAGAGCCCAUUCAGCAAAACAAAUGCUUACACCAGAUUGACAGCAUGUUCCGGGAGGGGGCUCGUGCUCAGUCCUCAGUCGUCUCAUACACGUAGGAGGUGUCAGGAAUACCAACACUGGCAAGCAUGCCAAGUCUUGGAAAUGUGCAGUCCAUCCGGACAAUGCAACAUUGUGCUCCGCUAAAUUCCUUUUCUUUUUUUCAGAGAUGGUCUAACUGAGUCAUCCUGGCUGGCCUGGAACUCAAUAUGCACACCAGGCUAGCCUCAAACGCCACAGAGAUCUGCCUGCUUCUGCCUCCUGUAUGCUGGGAUUAAAGGUGUGGGCUACUAUGCACAGCGAACUAAACGAAAUAAUAAGUAACAGUUGUAGAUUCCUGCUAGGCAUGGUGGUAUGC
rnacentral:lncRNA from 1 species